rnacentral:misc_RNA from 1 species
AAGUUAAAAAGAAUUGAAAUUUUUCAUUCUAAACAUGAAAAUUAACCGAAACAAAAAAAAGAAUUGAAUUCUUGAAAAAUUUUAAAUCAAUUUAGUACAUCAUAGUUAUUGUUUAUUAUCACUAAUACUAUUUAGGAAAAUAUCUAUUAAAUUAUAUUUAUUAAGUAAUCAUAUAAAACAAUAACAACUAAAUCCUAAUUUCAAAUUAGUUGAAAUCGACUAUAUGCAACAUCUUUUGCCAUUCAGCUCUGUUAGACACUAA